AAAUGUUUCAGUGAAAUCAACCCCCUCAAUCUGGGUGUCUCCUCUAAUAAUAAGCCUAGUUUUAUACCUUUCAACACUGCCAUCAGCUUUAUAUUUUAUCUUAUAGACCCAUUUGCAACCUAUGGGUUUCUUACCAGGAGGAAGGGGAACAAUAUCUCAAGUGUGGUUGGCAUCCAAUGCAUCAUACUCCUUUCUCAUGGCAUCCUGCCAAGCUGGAACUGUGGCAGCUUGAGAAUAAUAAAGAGGUUCAGAUUCCAGACUGGAAGUAGAGGAAGAGGAUCCAGAAAAAGAAGGUAGUUGACAAACAUAGUCUUUGAGAUAAGAAGGAGUGGUGUGUUGCCUUCCAGAUCUUCGGUUAAUAGGAGGAUGUGUAGAGGAAGAAAUAGUAGGAGGUGGAAUAUCAGGAUUGAAGGAUGCAGAAGGAAAAGGUUUAGAAUGUGUGGAGUCAGAAGCAAAAGAAGGAGCAUAGCUGGAAGCAGAAGGAAAAGAAUUAGAAGGAAAGGGAACAUUGGAACCAGGUGGGACAGAAAUGUGUGUCCCAGAAUCUUGGUGAUCAGAAAAAGGGACAAGAGGAGGUGGAAAAGAAGGGGAACCAGAAGUAAUAGCAGAAUUAGAUGCAAAAGGAAAACAUGUCUCAUGAAACACAACAUCCCUGGACACAAAGCAUCUUUUGGAAACUAGAUCAUACAACUUGUAACCCUUUUUUGCAAAAGGAUAUCCUAGAAAAACACAUGAAAGUGCUCUAGGUUUUAGUUUAUCUCUCUGUAGAAUGGGGACAGCAGCAUAAGCAAGACAACCAAAUGCUCUCAAAUGUGAGUAAUUAGGGGUCUUACCAUAUAGCACUUCAUAAGGGGAUUUGUUUUGAAGGAUUCUGGAUGGAAUCCUAUUGAGCAGAUAUGUGGCAGUUAAUAAACAAUCCCCCCAAAAUGAUACAGGCAGUUUGGACUGAAAAAGUAAAGCUCUACAAGCUUCAAGAAGUGUUCUGUGUUUCCUUUCAACAACACCAUUUUGUUGAGGAGUGUGGAGACAGGAAAUUUGAUGGAUAAUACCCUGUUGGUUGAAGAAAGAAACCCCAUCAAGGCCGGACCCUAAUUCCAAGGCAUUGUCACUUCUUAUAAUUUGAACAGUAGCACCAAACUGAGUUUUAACCAUAGACAAGAAAGUCUUAAUUAUGCAAAAAGCACUGGUCUUAGAUCCUAGUAGGUGUGUCCAGGUGGCCCUAGAAAAAUCAUCCACUAAUGUAAGGAAAUAUCUUGAUCCAGAGGAAGUUGGUGUAUGGUAAGGGCCCCAAGUAUCUACAUGAAUUAAUUGGAAAGGUCUGCUUGUACUGAUGGAACUAUUAGGGAAAAGAAGCCUAGUUUGCCUAGUCAUAGGACAAAUAGAGCAAGGAAAUGAUUGUUUAGGAGCAAGGGAAAGGGACAAGGCAGAAAUAUGUUUCAUAUUUGCAAAAGGAAUGUGAGCAAGUCUUAAGUGCCAAAUGAAGUUCAUAUCAUUUCCACUAGCAUUAUUACAAAUGGAGUUAUUUACAGUGAAAGGCAAAGGAACAACUUUAGAGCUAGAGGCACAAACAGAAAAUUUCCACUAGAAUUAUUACAAAUGGAGUUAUUUACAGCGAAAGGCAAAGGAACAGCAUUAGAGCUAGAGGCACAAACAGAAUUAUAAGAAUCAGAAUAAGAACACACUGAAACAGGUUUGCAAGAACUAGAAGAGGAAUCUGAGGGUGGCAUCCAAGCAAACUUGUACAGUACAUCCUUCUCCUUACCAAGAUCCAGAGGCAUCCUCAGAGAAGGGGCCUGUAACAUGUGAAGAAAAUAGAAAGUUGCAGUAAACAAGACUAUACAGUGCAACUGCUUUAUCAGUUUGUGGACAGAGAUUAAGUUGUGUUUGAAAGAAGGAACAAACAACACAUUAUGAAGUGUGAUGAAUGGGGUAAAAGCAAUGGAUCCCGUGGAGGUCACUUUUACUUUGUAUCCAUUGGAAAGAGUCACAAGAUAAGGUACAGUUAAGGGUGUGAUAUUAAAG
rnacentral:lncRNA from 1 species